UUAUGACAGGAUGCAAAAAUCUCUGUGUGCGAUCAAAGGCAAGAUAGUGGUUACCACAAAACUUGCAAAUAUUUGCAUUUACCCCACUAAUUCCGGCAGAAAGUUGUCACGAUGUUCUACAUAGACGUCUGGGUAGACGUGGAUCGUACCAAAUAACUUUGUUAAGUUGACCUACCUUACGCACAAGUUACAUAAUACAAAUUCUGAGAGUUCAUAAAUUUAUGAAGUCAGCAUAAGCGAAAUCGGCUCGGCAAACAAAUUCGAUGUCUGCAAAAAUCUAGCGAUACAAGACGAUUUGCACAUGAUGGCGGAUAACCCAUGUAGCAUUCCGGACCAAAGUAGCCCAUUGACUCCCGAAGAAAUCUCUAACAUUCCACUAAUGUACCCAGGACGCAACGAUAACCUCCAAGACAUCAUAAUAAAGCGGCUGGUUGACGUAAUUGUGGGAGUGGAAGGUGCUAAUGAUUAUUUCACUCAAAUCUGUCACUCCAUGGGGCUAAGUCAAGACAAGAAAACCAGCGUGGAGAAUAUUCAUCAAAACUAAGAAUGGAAACCGUACAUUGUACGAGGUUUACCGAGGUCUAAUUGAUGCAACUGUGAGGGAGCAUGCGGAAUCCUCAAACAUAGGAAUGUUAUUAAAAGCAAUGAAAGAAGCGGGUUGGAACAAUGCUCGUCACACAAUUCUUGCGGUUAAAUGGCACGAAAUACGAGGAUUGAAGGAAAUACUGACGCCCAAGCUUGUCGCAGAUUCCGAAGCUGACCACGCACCCGGGGUUUCUGUUGAGGUCGCCGAAAACCGAGAAGAAUUGAUGCCGCCGCAGCCAUCCUGCUCGGCGUCGCCCAGUACAAAUGAAAAUCCUGUACACGAAACUAACAACCGUCAAGGAUCUGAAGAGCUUGUAGGUCAGGAAGAAUUACCGCUUCUUAGCGCUUCGGGAGAAACAAAGCGACGAACAAGAAGCACAAGUAUCAACGCAACCAGGCAUGGAUUAACGCAAGCUGUUUGUACUAUUUUAUGUCAGUUUGGUUGUUCCACAUUAUUUUUCUUUAUCAUAUUGAAAAUGUUACACAUCAUCGGGCCGAACAUGAAUCGUUCACACACUCCAACAAAUUCAUACGCCAGACCGAAGUACCUAAAUCCUUCUGCACAAUGAAUCCAUCGCUAAAAUUUGAUGAUACCCGUUAUUCCGCCAACGCUAUCGAACUAAUUCCCAACUGGAAUGAGCCAAAACUCGAUCUAUGUCACGAUUCUGAAACAAUUUUAAUCAUUCUUGAACCUUUAAUUCUAAGUGAAGCGCAAGAAAUCCGUUGUCCUGAGAGGGUAACAGGGCUUCUCAUUUUCGUCGCAUUAACAGACUCCGAGCUGCAAGAGUUCCUUAACGAAUUUUGUCACAUUAUGCGAAUUUCAUUUGUUCAAGAUGCAGUUUGUCGUUUGCAAAAGGAUUCAGGAAUUCAGAAAGAAAUGAUCAUUGCCAAGAAUUUGCAAGCCAUCAGUUUCGAAGAGUUAGAAAACUGUUCAGAGUUCUACCGAAAACUGGGGGAUUCCUUGAUUGCUAGGAGAUUAACAAUUGUAGCUUUUAAAUGUACAUCUUUCAAGAAAGAAGAAUUACAGGGUUUAGAAUAUUUUUUUCGCAAGCAGGGUAUUCCUAGUAGGGUUAAAUGUUCAAAUGAGAAGGGAUGUGUAGACCUUGAUUUAUCCGUUAAUCGACAUGCUACUCAGGACUACAGCGUCGUUUCGUGCUUCUGACCGGAUGUUAUACCCAGAGCCUUGGGAUUAACGAAAGUGGGAUUAAUGAUUAGGAUUAUGGAUUGAUUUUUAAAAAAUCGGGAUUGAGGAUUGAGAUUAGGGAUUAAUUACAUUCGGGAUUAAAAUUAAUUUGGGAUUAAAUCUCUCGAGUCAUUCAAUGGGAUUAGGGAUUAAUUUAGUCCUAUUUUAAUCCCGAAUUGGGAUUAAUUUCGUAUUUUACGUGAAUCACAUUUAUACAUAUCUAGGUGAUAUUACCUUUGCUAUACAGUUUACACGUAAUAUUUUAUAUUGUUUGAGAAGCCUUAAAUGUGUGAUUGAAUUUGAAUCCCACCGUAGACUGCUGACCGCAUAAAUAUUGAUCUAAUGACUUAUGUAAGUGGUCACUUACAUAAGUCUCUAUUUGAUUAACAUUAAAGAGUGAGUGGGCACUCCUACUCUAGGUUAUUAUUAUACGGCCAUAAUAAUAAUUACACAUUAGUGACAUAAAUUAAGUUUGCUUAUCUAGUCAUCACCGAACUAAAAUCAACUUGGACAGAAAAGGUUUUAUCAAUAGUUCUUAACAUGUGAGCUAUUUGUUUUAUAAUAAUUGUUGUUUGUGAAAUACAACGAAAAAAUUUCAGUUAAUAGUUAUGACAAACAUAUUUCUGAUUGAAACAAAAGUAGAAUUGACAUUGUCUCCGAGAAUUCUCAGCAGGUGGAGCUGAUUUAAUCCUAUUUUAAUCCCAAACUUGGAGUAAGAUUAAUCAAUGCGUUCCGGAAUAGGGAUUGAGGAUUAAUUAUUUCUUCUAAAUUUCUUGGGAUUGAGGACUAGGGAUUAAAAGUACAAAAUUACGGAUUGAGGAUUGGGAUUAAGGAUUAAUUAAUCUCCAAUCUCAAUCUCAAUCCAUAAUCCCGGAUUAACCAGCCUCUGGUUAUACAUAAUAUCAAAUGACAAUGCAACCAUUUUCCAAGCUAGACAGAAAUUUUCUGGCGAGUUUAUUAACGACUAGGAUAUUCCUUAGAGGUUCCUAGAUUUACUAGAGUCUGUUUUAAAUGCACAUCCUUCGAAAAGGAUGAUUUGGAAAGUUUGGAAUAUUUUUUUUUACGACAGCCCAACGUAACCAGGGUUAAAUGCUCCGAUACCAAUGAGUGUUGUUGUUGUUCUUGUUGUUAAGCCUUUAUUCAAGUGUCAACAGAGAUCAAUUCAUAACAAAUUGGUUUACACACCAUGACACAAACGCAAUAAAUUUUAUAAGCAAUUAUCUAGUCUAAAUAAAUAAAUAAAAAAAUAAGAGAAUUUUAGCAUAUAUAAUCAUCGAGUUAAAAAUCAGCAUUGUAACCAGAAAAAUCAAAACAACCUGAGAGAGCAUGAUUAUCCAACUUCAUAACUCUCAAAAUUAUUAAUACACAACUCAUAUUUAUAUUUAUAGUGUGUCGAUCUUGGAGGACACUUUGAGUCACAAAUUGGCUUGUGUAUUUAACAGUGAUACAAUUAGGAGUUACAUACGCAGUUGGCAACGCCUACCACCAGGCCCAGUUUUAGGCAUAGGCGAGCUAGGCAACCGCCUAGUGCGUCAAUUUUUGGGGUCACGGGUGGGUGGCCCUAGGGACAUAUUACAUAAAAGCAAUUUCGUCCACUUUUAUCAUUUCUCAUGCAAAACAACGAAUAAAAAUUUGUAGAAAGUAUUCAAAUGUUUCUGACAAGGGACACUCACGACCUGUCGUUUGAGUCCAGGUUACCCACCAUGUUUUUUAGAAUCUACCUGGACCUUUUCCUCGUAAGUGUUGCAUACAUAUUUAGGUAUACAUAGUUCUUGACUUGUGAUAAUAGACAUUUGUAAUACAAAACAUUUAGUUACCAAACAUUAAUUCGCGAAUAAAAAACGUAAUUAAUUUAUUACUUA